CAGUAGCCACGGUAAUACGAAGGGUGCAAGCGUUAAUCGGAAUUACUGGGCGUAAAGCGUGCGUAGGCGGUGAGUUAAGUCUGCUGUGAAAUCCCCGGGCUCAACCCGGGAAUGGCAGUGGAUACUGGCUCGCUAGAGUGUGUCAGAGGAUGGUGGAAUUCCCGGUGUAGCAGUGAAAUGCGUAGAGAUGUGGAGGAACACCGAUGGCGAAGGCAGCCCCCUGGGCCAAUACUGACGCUCAUGCACGAAAGCGUGGGGAGCAAACAGGAUUAGAUACCCCAGUAGUCCCUGUCUCUUAUAC
rnacentral:rRNA from 1 species